rnacentral:sRNA from 1 species
AUGAUCUUGAUGGAACCAACAGCGUAAUGAAUCCAAAAUCCCCCCAUUUAGCGCCAGGCCUGGCCUACCAGAUGGUGGGGUGGUUAUCUUCAAAGUCAAGUUACAUACAUGGUUAAUUCACCUUUGAUGGGUGGAUGAUCAGCGGGCGAUUUCCGUCGCAGAGAGUGUUUACUUUGCACCGAUGUGUCAAUGCUGCAGUAUGGUGAUGAAAACGAUGUGAUCAUAAUCAACAUACCUACAUGAACAAAAUUUAGAGAAAGCAUGAAGUGGGAGGGAAAUUGUUCGAAAUCAAGUGGGGUUCUCGCCCUGAAAUGGCAGUGAUCCCAACAUGUACUGUACCUACCAGCGCAGUAAGGCUUUUGCGAAAAGUUAUGAAUAACUACGUUGCCACUGCCAAUAACUAAUUAA